CCUACGGGGGGCUGCAGUCGAGAAUCUUCGGCAAUGGGCGCAAGCCUGACCGAGCGACGCCGCGUGCGGGAUGAAGGCCUUCGGGUUGUAAACCGCUGUCGGAGAGGCGGAAAUUCUUAGGGGUACUCCCCUAUGAUUGACCUAUUCUCGGAGGAAGUCCGGGCUAAGUUCGUGCCAGCAGCCGCGGUAAUACGGACCGGACAAACGUUAUUCGGAAUCACUGGGCUUAAAGAGUACGUAGGCGGCUCAGAAAGUUGGGUGUGAAAUCCCUCGGCUCAACCGAGGAAUUGCGCUCAAAACUACUGAGCUUGAGGAAGGUAGGGGUAAGCGGAACUGAUGGUGGAGCGGUGAAAUGCGUUGAUAUCAUCAGGAACACCAGUGGCGAAGGCGGCUUACUGGGCCUUUUCUGACGCUGAGGUACGAAAGCUAGGGUAGCGAACGGGAUUAGAUACCCCAGUAGUC
rnacentral:rRNA from 1 species